rnacentral:lncRNA from 1 species
ACAAACCCUAUUAUGCCUUUGGUUGGGCUUUUGGAAGCUGCUUUUGCUUCUCAAAAACCAAAAGCCAACCAAAAAGGCUACCAACCCAUAAAUGUUUUGGGCAAAAGCAGAUUCCUCCCCACUACAAAACCCACAGCCGCUCGACCCCUGCUUCCUCCGGCUGUGAAAUGGUAAUUUCUAAGAAAUUACCUACCUCCCACUAGUUAUGAACGUACUCGUUCGUUCUUUUCCUCUCGGUCUUCCCUCUCCUACCUGACAGAACUGAGGCACGACGCGGCUAGGGUUCCGCCAUCACCGGCGGCGCCCCGCAGCCCCCUCUGGCGCCCCCCUAAAACGAGCUCCGGUAGUGUUGACGCUCGUUAUUGACACACUUUUACCCCUGUUUAUCUUCAAUAAUGACAUGAAUUUAAC